UCCGGAGCUGUAUAUGUGUGUCUGUGUCUUUGUGUAUGUCUGUGUGUGUGUCUGUGUCUGUGUUUGUGUAUUUGUGUCUAUGUGUGUCUAUGUGUGUGCCUGUGUCUAUGUGUGUAUAUGUGUUUAUGUGUGUCUGUGUGUGUGUCUGUGUCUGUGUGUGUGUCUGUGUCUAUGUGCGUGUCUGUGUUUAUGUGGGUCUGUGUCUAUGUGGGUCUGUGUCUAUGUGGGUCUGUGUCUAUGUGGGUCUGUGUCUAUGUGCGUGUCUGUGUCUAUGUGCGUGUCUGUGUUUAUGUGGGUCUGUGUCUAUGUGGGUCUGUGUCUAUGUGGGUCUGUGUCUAUGUGGGUCUGUGUCUGUGUGUGUCUGAGUUUAUGUCGGUCUGUGUUUAUGUGGGUCUGUGUCUAUGUGGGUCUGUGUCUAUGUGUGUCUGUGUUUAUGUGGGUCUGUGUGUGUGUGUGUCUGUGUCUAUGUGCGUGUCUGUGUUUAUGUGGGUCUGUGUCUAUGUGGGUCUGUGUCUAUGUGGGUCUGUGUUUAUGUGGGUCUGUGUUUAUGUGGGUCUGUGUCCAUGUGUGUCUGUGUUUAUGUGGGUCUGUGUUUAUGUGGGUCUGUGUGUGUGUGUCUGUGUCCAUGUGUGUCUGUGUUUAUGUGGGUCUGUGUUUAUGUGGGUCUGUGUCUAUGUGGGUCUGUGUUUAUGUGGGUCUGUGUUUAUGUGGGUCUGUGUGUUUAUGUGUGUCUGUGUUUAUGUGGGUCUGUGUCUAUGUGGGUCUGUGUCUAUGUGUGUCUAUGUGUUUAUGUGUGUCUGUGUUUAUGUGGGUCUGUGUCUAUGUGGGUCUGUGUCUAUGUGGGUCUGUGUCUAUGUGGGUCUGUGUCUAUGUGUGUGUUUUCUGGGUAUGAGUGUCUAUGCAUAUACUGUAUGGGGGUCCAGUCUUUCUACAAUGCUAGACAAGCCAUUGUAUAACCAGACAUUUUUGUUUUGUUAUUGGUUAUAAUUUAGAUUAACCGGGGUUUACUCAGUGUUCUGACUCCUUCCAGAAAUGAACAGACAAUCAUCAUUUGGACGGGUUGAUGGAACUGUGCCGUUCCAGACAUGGCUGAACACAGUUUUACACAUCAAACCACCUCUGAGGUUUAGGGCUUCAGUCAUCCGACAACUCUGGGCAGAAAUUCCCCUAAACAUGUUACUCCUUGACAAGACCACCCAGAACAGACAAUAAAACUGAUUGUUUGGCAGCAUAUCAAUGCCACAUGCCAAAUAUACUAAAAAAAAAUGUCUCUUAAAAGUCACCAGACAGCUCACCUUACCUCAGACUCAGAAUGUUCAUAACCUCAGAGCUCCAGACAUCCUGUAGUCUUUCUUAUAACCCUACAGACUGACCUCAGAGCACCAGAUAUCCUGUAGUCAUUCUAAUAACCCUACAGACUAAUUCAGAAAUCAUGCUCCAGAGCUUUUGAA
ensembl:lncRNA